AUUGAACGCUGGCGGCAGGCCUAACACAUGCAAGUCGAGCGAGCGGCGGACGGGUGAGUAAUGUCUGGGAAACUGCCUGAUGGAGGGGGAUAACUACUGGAAACGGUAGCUAAUACCGCAUACCAUCAGAUGUACCCAGAUGGGAUUAGCUGGUAGGUUGGGUAACGGCGCACCUAGGCGACGAUCCCUAGCUGGUCUGAGAGGAUGACCAGCCAAACUGGAAUGGAGACACGGUCCAGACUCCUACGGGAGGCAGCAGUGGGGAAGAUUGCACAAUGGGCGCAAGCCUGAUGCAGCCAUGCCGGGUGUAUGAAGAAGGCCUUCGGGUUGUAAAGUACUUUCAGCGGGGAGGCGUUACCCGCAGAAGAAGCACCGGCUAACUCCGUGCCAGCCGCCGCGGUAAUUC
rnacentral:rRNA from 1 species